GGGACACGUGGUAUCCUGUCUGAAUAUGGGGGGACCAUCCUCCAAGGCUAAAUACUCCUGACUGACCGAUAGUGAACCAGUACCGUGAGGGAAAGGCGAAAAGAACCCCGGCGAGGGGAGUGAAAAAGAACCUGAAACCGUGUACGUACAAGCAGUGGGAGCACGCUUAGGCGUGUGACUGCGUACCUUUUGUAUAAUGGGUCAGCGACUUAUAUUCUGUAGCAAGGUUAACCGAAUAGGGGAGCCGAAGGGAAACCGAGUCUUAACUGGGCGUUAAGUUGCAGGGUAUAGACCCGAAACCCGGUGAUCUAGCCAUGGGCAGGUUGAAGGUUGGGUAACACUAACUGGAGGACCGAACCGACUAAUGUUGAAAAAUUAGCGGAUGACUUGUGGCUGGGGGUGAAAGGCCAAUCAAACCGGGAGAUAGCUGGUUCUCCCCGAAAGCUAUUUAGGUAGCGCCUCGUGAAUUCAUCUCCGGGGGUA
rnacentral:rRNA from 1 species